GAUGAACGCUAGCUACAGGCUUAACACAUGCAAGUCGAGGGGUAACGAGAGGAAGGCUUGCUUUCCUUGUCGACGACCGGCGCACGGGUGAGUAACGCGUAUCCAACCUGCCCCCAACUAGGGAAUAACCUUGCGAAAGUAAGACUAAUACCCUAUAAUUUCCUCAGAUGUCAUCUGACGAGGAAUAAAGAUUUAUCGGUUGUGGAUGGGGAUGCGUCUGAUUAGCUUGUUGGCGGGGUAACGGCCCACCAAGGCAACGAUCAGUAGGGGUUCUGAGCGGAAGGGCCCCCACAUUGGAACGGAGACACGGUCCAAACGCCUACGGGAGGCAGCAAUGAGGAAUAUUGGUCAAUGGGCGGAAGCCUGAACCAGCCAAGUAGCGUGCAGGAUGACGGCCCUAUGGGUUGUAAACUGCUUUUAUACAGGAAUAAAGUUAGCCACGUGUGGUUAUUUGUAGGUACUGUAUGAAUAAGGACCGGCUAAUUCCGUGCCAGCAGCCGCAGUAA
rnacentral:rRNA from 1 species